rnacentral:rRNA from 1 species
AUUGAACGCUGGCGGCAGGCCUAACACAUGCAAGUCGAACGAGUGGCGGACGGGUGAGUAAUGUCUGGGAAACUGCCUGAUGGAGGGGGAUAACUACUGGAAACGGUAGCUAAUACCGCAUACCAUCGAAUGUGCCCAGUUGGGAUUAGCUUGUAGGUGAGGUAACGGCUCACCUAGGCGACGAUCCCUAGCUGGUCUGAGAGGAUGACCAGCCACAGUGGAACUGAGACACGGUCCAGACGACGACGGGAGGCAGCAGUGGGGAAUAUGGCACAAUGGGCGCAAGCCUGAUGCAGCCAUGCCGCGUGUAUGAAGAAGGCCUUCGGGGUGUAAAGUACUUUCAGCGGGGAGGCGUUACCCGCAGAAGAAGCACCGGCUAACUCCGUGCCAGCAGCCGCGGUAAUAC